UACGAAGGGGGCUAGCGUUGUUCGGAAUUAUUGGGCGUAAAGAGCUCGUAGGCGGUCUGUCGCGUCGGAUGUGAAAGCCCGGGGCUUAACCCCGGGUCUGCAUUCGAUACGGGCAGACUAGAGUGUGGUAGGGGAGAUCGGAAUUCCUGGUGUAGCGGUGAAAUGCGCAGAUAUCAGGAGGAACACCGGUGGCGAAGGCGGAUCUCUGGGCCAUUACUGACGCUGAGGAGCGAAAGCGUGGGGAGCAAACAGG
rnacentral:rRNA from 1 species